UGCUUUACUUAAUCUUACUCAAGAUCAGGGUAAUAAUAUAUUCGAGUUCAAGAAUUUCUCAGAUAGGGAGAUUUGCAGGGACUUUGUAGGUGAGGUUGGUGACCAAGAUGAAAAGCUGGCAGAAGGUAUCAAGCUUUAUGCUAUACCAACCACCUCAACUACAAAGCGGUCAAUGCUUGAUUUGAUACAUUUUAUAACACUGUUUCGACAAUUUUAAUCUCAAGUACAACCCUUGUGGACAGAGUCAACUCAUAGUGAUCUUCUUAAAGCAAGACAAUUUGAUUCAAGGUCGUUUCUUGGGAGAAUUACGAAGAAAGUUUUAUCCGAUCUUGUGAUUUCAGGUCGUUUCCUCUCACAACUCCGUCAACGAAGCACCAUCCAAAUUACCUGCGAUCGUCUUCAUUGUCAUUCAGCGUUGAUAGCUGAAAGACACGAGGGUACAUGCACCAGUUGGUCUCUGUCCCGAUUGUUUCAAAGGUGGCUGAUUCUGGAUAGGAAAAUCCAUCGCUCUUUGUGGUUGAAAUGGCGAAGAUUCAUCAAUUAUUUGAGCUCUUUAGACGUGUUAGACUUCUUGGAUAGAUUUCUUGCCAUCAAUCCAGACUUCAUAUAUUGCUUCAUUAGCGCGUGCUCUUAUAUAUUGUCAUGGGAAGCAUGUUAUUAACAGAGAUAUAAAACCGGAGAACCUUUUUGUUGGUGCAUAGGGUGACUUAAAAGAUUGCGGAUUUUGGUUGGUCUAUGCACACAUUCAAUCGUAGGCAGACCAUGUGUGCUACCCUAGAUUAUCUCCCGCCUGAAAUGGUGGAGAGUGCUGAGCAUGAUGCAAGUGUAGACAUAUGGAGUCUUGGUAUUUUGUAAAGUUCGUUCCUUCUUUGAUUUUUAUUGUUAAUGUAAUCAAUUUGUGUUAAGUUUUAUUUCUUUUCGACAUCGUUGAAGGGUGUGAGAACAUAGACAUAGGGUUAGAUCUGGCGAAAUACUUCAGAGGAUUUUUGGACGUGGUUCUUGAUUUCCUUGAUUUUUGGUUCCGGUAAUAAACAUUCAACCGCAUCUGUUGUUGAUUAUUUUAACUUUGUUGUUUUUGUGUUUUAGCCUUGCUGAAUCAACAAACUUUUGAUUACCUGAGUUUCAAGAUUUUAAUUGCUGGCGAUGGUAUUCUUAAUACGUGAUGCAACAAGGUUGAAAAAUUUUAUUUUGUUCAGUUCUGCUUGGGCAUGCUAGCAAUGAACAUUUUAUACAACCACAUAUCUCUGUUCGUAUAUAUGAAUUUAACAUGGGUGACACGAUUAUUAGCGUUAUAAAGAGAAAGGCGAGCUAUCUUGACCAAACAUUUGCAAAUGGGAACUCGAUGCAAAAAUACAAUUUGGGUAAAUUAAAUGGGUCAAUGCAUGCUUUUGGUGCAUUAGGAUCAACCGCUUCAAGAAUUGAAAACACUAUCCGGCCCAUAAUUUCUAUGGGAUCAUGAGGUAGCUGAUGCUAGAGGUGAUGUCCCUUUUUAAUUGAAGCACUUGCUUUGAAAGAAGAGACGAAAGCAUGCUGUGAAAUUUAUGUUUCAUAAUUGUCUUAGUGAGGUUUUAGUUUCAUGUCUUCAUGCUUGGGAACCUAACUUCUCAGUUGACGGAGAGCUUACUAUAGGGAAAAAGACUGCCUUUUAUGAGAUCAAUCUACACAUCUUCUAAGCACAUCGUUAUUGCUAUAUUUCAAGGUUAUCAUGAAUAAAGAUGGCACAUUGCAGGCAACUUCUGGUGUUGAGGAUUUGGCAUUGCUGAAGACAACAUAAUGGGGGACUCAAUUAUUAAUAAGCUCAAAGAAAAGAUGAAGAUUACUGAGUAAAGAUGGUGAAAGAAGACAUUGGGUAGGGGUUGGGGUCCAUAUGUAUUUUUUAAUCUUUUAAUAUUUUAGUUGUUAUUUUUUUAAUAGUAAGGGCAUUUUUGUCAUUUCACACCCACUUAACACAAAAAAACUAACCUCCAUCUAUGCCAGGGACUAUCCGGGAAAGAAAUUGAAAAAGUUGAGGACUAUUGCUGUACUUUUAGAAAGUUAGGGACUAAAGGUGAAAAAUGGAUAAACCACAGGGACUAUCCGGCCAUUUUUAUCUACCCUUCCAUAAAAAUUUUGUUCAAAAUCAAAUGAGAAAUAUAAUGGACUUUUUUCU
rnacentral:lncRNA from 1 species